CAGCAGCCGCGGUAAUACAGAGGGUGCGAGCGUUAAUCGGAUUUACUGGGCGUAAAGCGUGCGUAGGCGGCUAAUUGAGUCGGAUGUGAAAUCCCCGAGCUUAACUUGGGAAUUGCAUUCGAUACUGGUUAGCUAGAGUGUGGGAGAGGAUGGUAGAAUUCCAGGUGUAGCGGUGAAAUGCGUAGAGAUCUGGAGGAAUACCGAUGGCGAAGGCAGCCAUCUGGCCUAAUACUGACGCUGAGGUACGAAAGCAUGGGGAGCAAACAGGAUUAGAUACCCCGGUAGUCCCUGUCUCUUAUAC
rnacentral:rRNA from 1 species